GACGAACGCUGGCGGCGUGCCUAAUACAUGCAAGUCGAACGCAGUGGGGACGGGUGAGUAACACGUGGGUAACCUCCCAUCAGAGGGGAUAACACUUGGAAACAGGUGCUAAACCGAUACUGAUGGAUGGACCCGGGGUGCAUUAGCUAGUUGGUGGGGUAACGGCUCACCUAGGCCACGAUGCCUAGCCGGCCUGAGAGGGUGAGCAGCCACACUGGGACUGAGACACGGCCCAGACUCCUACGGGAGGCAGCAGUAGGGAAUCUUGGGCAAUGGGCGAAAGCCUGACGGAGCCACGCCGUGUGAGUGAAGAAGGUUUUCGGAUCGUAAAACUCUGUCGUUAGAGAAGCGGUAUCUAACGAGAAAGCCACGGCUAACUACGUGCCAGCAGCCGCGGUAAUUC
rnacentral:rRNA from 1 species